rnacentral:rRNA from 1 species
AUGCACUUAUAUGCUUGGUGGAAAUUGUGCAUUCCGAAGAAGAAAGGGGGUUUGGGGUUUAGAGACUGUUUUAACCUUGCUAUCUUAGCAAAACAGUGUUGGCGACUAUUCCAGAACCCGAAUUCUUUAUGUGCGUGAGUUUAAUGUGGUAAGUAUUAUCUGAAUGGUGACAUUUUAAAGGCUGGGCCGAAGAAGAGAUGUUCAUACACUUGGCAUCGUAUUGUGGUAGGCAUACAAACCUUUCAAACGGGGUGCAUUUUACAUGUGGAAUCGGGUUCACAUAUUAAUUUAUGUCUAGUCCAUGGAUUCCAUCGAGUCCAUCAUGAAAGGUUAAUAUACCAAGAGGUGUAA